rnacentral:rRNA from 1 species
CAGUAGCCGCGGUAAUGCGAAGGGUGCAAGCGUUAAUCGGAAUUACUGGGCGUAAAGCGUGCGUAGGUGGUGGUUUAAGUCCGUUGUGAAAGCCCUGGGCUCAACCUGGGAAUUGCAGUGGAUACUGGGUCACUAGAGUGUGGUAGAGGAUAGUGGAAUUUCCGGUGUAGCAGUGAAAUGCGUAGAGAUCGGAAGGAACAUCUGUGGCGAAGGCGACUAUCUGGGCCAAUACUGACGCUCAUGCACGAAAGCGUGGGAAGCAAACAGGAUUAGAUACCCCUGUAGUCCCUGUCUCUUAUAC